UAUCUGCUUUACGUAGAAGCCUAAAAGACAGUGAAGGUUCAGUUAAAUGUUCCAGUGUAGUCAUAAUUAAUCGCUGUAGUAAUGUUUUUUUGAACUUAGUCAAAACACAAUGAUGUCCAGGGUUUUCUGCUGGCGGAGAACUUGGUUGGAUGUCCCGAAUUAUUGACCUCGAAUCAGGUGAGGAUACCCGCUGAAUUUAA
rnacentral:misc_RNA from 1 species